ensembl:lncRNA
AGUCGUAUCUGACUCCUUGAAACCCCAUGGACUGUAGCCUGGCAGGCUCCUCCAUCCAUGGGAUUAUCCAGGCAAAAUACUGGAAUGGGUUGCCAUUUCCUUCUCCAGAGGAUCUUCCCAACCCAGGGAUCAAACUCGGGUCUCCUUCAUUGCAGACAGACUCUACCGUCUGAGCCUGUAAAAGGAAGCUCUGCACGCCCUGUCUUUUGAGGUUUUUAUGGCGGCUCCAUUACAUAGGCAUGAUUGAUUACAUCAUUGGCCAUCGUUAUCUGUGGACAUCUUGGCACCUCUACAAACUAUAAUCUCCCUGAAGCCUGAAUGAGCCUGGAAGAAGGGGCCCCUAAACCUCACAAGAUGGAUCACAGCUCCAACUAACAAGUUAAUUUCAGCCUGGUGAGAUCCUGAGCAGAAUGCCCAGGUAAACCCUGUCCAGAAUCCAGACCCUAGACCCUCAGAAACUGUCAGUUAAUAAACAUUCUGCUCCAAGCCACAAAAUUUCUGGUAAUUCAUUUCUUGGCAAUAGAAAGCUAAUUCACACCCAGUAGUCAGUGUAAUCAAUGGGCUGAUAAGCAAGAGCUCGGAGGCAGAUGCCCAUUUGUCUUUGUCAACAAACAUAAUAAAGACCGUUUCACCAAAGCUGCGUGGUCAAGGCUGCAUAUGCAGUUAUCAAAGUUGAACAUGGAACAGCCUUGGGCGCACCCUGGGAGAUGAAGCCAGCAGAACAAGGGAAGCAGAGAUCAGUGCGUUCAAGUCCCAGAUUUCAUUCUCUCUUGCCCGCCUCAGAGUCUGGUCAUCUUAAGUUCUUUGAAGGCAUCCCCUGGAUUGGCACUCGUGCCAUCGCUCCUCCUCCCAGACUAGUAAACAGCAUCACUGGGAUUUACGCAGUCUAGCGC